AUUGAACGCUGGCGGCAUGCCUAACACAUGCAAGUCGAACGAGUGGCGGACGGGUGAGUAAUGUCUGGGAAACUGCCCGAUGGAGGGGGAUAACUACUGGAACCGGUAGCUAAUACCGCAUACCAUCGGAUGUGCCCAGAUGGGAUUCGCUAGUAGGUGGGGUAACGGCUCACCUAGGCGACGAUCCCUAGCUGGUCUGAGAGGAUGACCGGCCAAACGGGAACGGAGACACGGUCCAGACGCCUACGGGAGGCAGCAGUGGGGAAUAUGGCACAAUGGGCGCAAGCCUGAUGCAGCCAUGCCGCGUGUAUGAAGAAGGCCUUAGGGUUGUAAAGUACGUUCAGCGGGGAGGCGUUACCCGCAGAAGAAGCACCGGCUAACUCCGUGCCAGCAGCCGCGGUAAUAC
rnacentral:rRNA from 1 species